UGUCGCUGCGGGCCGGGCGGGGGCCGCGGGGCUGCGAUGCGGACGGGCCCGCGGCGGUGACCGGAGCUGCCGCCCGACAUGAACUCGCUGGAGCAGGCGGAAGAUCUCAAGGCUUUCGAGAGGAGACUUACUGAAUAUAUUCAUUGUUUGCAACCUGCUACUGGCCGUUGGAGAAUGCUUCUUAUAGUGGUAUCUGUCUGUACAGCUACUGGUGCCUGGAACUGGUUAAUAGAUCCCGAGACACAAAAGGUAGAAGUUUUGAUUUGAAAUCUUUUAUGAUUAAAUUAGAUAAUGGAUAUAGUAGAGUAGCGCUUUGU